CGGCCCGUAAACCCCUGUCAUUUGCGAUCAAACCUCGUUAUUUAAAAGAUGACGAGCUGAUAGUAGCGAAAGAGGAAGGGACGGCUAACUCUGUGC
rnacentral:rRNA from 1 species